rnacentral:rRNA from 1 species
GCUAGACAUAGCAGUAAUGCAGUUAACACAUUAAGUGUGCCGCCUGGGGAGUACGGUCGCAAGAUUAAAACUCAAAGGAAUAGACGGGGACCCGCACAAGCGGUGGAGCAUGUGGUUUAAUUCGACGAUACGCGAAGAACCUUACCUGGACUUGACAUAGAAAGAAUUACGCAGAGAUGUAUAAGUGCCAGCUUGCUGGAACUUUCAUACAGGUGCUGCACGGCUGUCGUCAGCUCGUGUCGUGAGAUGUUGGGUUAAGUCCCGCAACGAGCGCAACCCUCGUGUUUAGUUGCUAACAGUUCGGCUGAGAACUCUAAACAGACUGCCUGGGUAACCAGGAGGAAGGUGAGGACGACGUCAAGUCAUCAUGGCCCUUACGUCCAGGGCUACACACGUGCUACAAUGGGGCAUACAAAGAGCUGCGAUACCGCGAGGUGGAGCAAAUCUCAAAAAUGCCUCCCAGUUCGGAUAGCAGUCUGCAACUCGACUGCUUGAAGUUGGAAUCGCUAGUAAUCGUAGAUCAGCAAUGCUACGGUGAAUACGUUCCCGGGUCUUGUACUCACCGCCCGUCACACCAUGGGAGUUGAUUUCAUUCGAAGCGGGGAUGCUAAAAUAGCUACCUUCCACAGUGGAAUUAGCGACUGGGGUGAAGUCGUAACAAGGUAGCCG